rnacentral:rRNA from 1 species
GCGGUUUGUCGCGUCUGCUGUGAAAUCCCGAGGCUCAACCUCGGGCCUGCAGUGGGUACGGGCAGACUAGAGUGCGGUAGGGGAGAUUGGAAUUCCUGGUGUAGCGGUGGAAUGCGCAGAUAUCAGGAGGAACACCGAUGGCGAAGGCAGAUCUCUGGGCCGUAACUGACGCUGAGGAGCGAAAGGGUGGGGAGCAAACAGGCUUAGAUACCCUGGUAGUCCACCCCGUAAACGUUGGGAACUAGUUGUGGGGUCCAUUCCACGGAUUCCGUGACGCAGCUAACGCAUUAAGUUCCCCGCCUGGGGAGUACGGCCGCAAGGCUAAAACUCAAAGGAAUUGACGGGGACCCGCACAAGCGGCGGAGCAUGCGGAUUAAUUCGAUGCAACGCGAAGAACCUUACCAAGGCUUGACAUAUACGAGAACGGGCCAGAAAUGGUCAACUCUUUGGACACUCGUAAACAGGUGGUGCAUGGUUGUCGUCAGCUCGUGUCGUGAGAUGUUGGGUUAAGUCCCGCAACGAGCGCAACCCUCGUUCUAUGUUGCCAGCACGUUAUGGUGGGAACUCAUGGGAUACUGCCGGGGUCAACUCGGAGGAAGGUGGGGAUGACGUCAAAUCAUCAUGCCCCUUAUGUCUUGGGCUUCACGCAUGCUACAAUGGCCGGUACAAUGGGCUGCGAUACCGUGAGGUGGAGCGAAUCCCAAAAAGCCGGUCCCAGUUCGGAUUGAGGUCUGCAACUCGACCUCAUGAAGUCGGAGUCGCUAG